UACGGAGGGGGCCAGCGUUGUUCGGAAUCAUUGGGCGUAAAGGGCGCGUAGGCGGCCGAGUAAGUCUGACGUGAAAUCCCUUGGCUCAACCAAGGAACUGCGUCUUAAACUGCUCGGCUAGAGUCCGGGAGAGGGUAGUGGAAUUCCCAGUGUAGCGGUGAAAUGCGUAGAUAUUGGGAGGAACACCGGUGGCGAAGGCGGCUACCUGGACCGGUACUGACGCUGAGGCGCGAAAGCUAGGGGAGCAAACAGG
rnacentral:rRNA from 1 species